GGAAAGGAACUGACCUCCAAUUACUACUAAGAGUUUAAUAUAUAUACAUUUACCUAUUGUCCCUAUAGUAGAAAUAUCAUGUCGACCAUAAAUGAUCUACUGUACCAUUUCUUUCAUCACCCCUUUAUUGGGCCAUAAAGUUCGUUUGGUGAGUGCUAUAGUGAUUCAUCUUUAACAAUUUUUGAAAAUUAUUAAAACUAAAUUUAAAGUAGAAUAUUCUUAAAUAUAAGACUUUUAGUGAUACGGUAUGUUUAAUUCGCUAUGAUGAAAUCAAUUUUAGCAUACAAUUGGCAAGAGUUGAUGAUAUCAUAUAUCUUGUUGCUUGAUGGGAGCACUUCCUCGACCACCAUAACUUACAAGGUGAUUAUAUUAUCGUGUUUGAAUACACCGAAAAUUCUACAUUCAACGUUUUAAUAUUUAGCCUUUCACCUGUAGAAAUAACAAAUGACUCUUAUGUUUUUGAAGUGGAGAUUUCACGUACGGGUAAUCCUGUCUUUCGAGUAACAUUGGCAACUAAUCGUGAUGGUCAUCGAAAAAUUGUAUGCUCCUUUUUAACUUCAUUUCUUUCUAAAUUGUAUCUUUCUUUACUUACAUAUAUGG
rnacentral:lncRNA from 1 species